AAGUCGUAACAAGGUUUCCGUAGGUGAACCUGCGGAAGGAUCAUUAUCGAUUCAAACCAAAUGAGAGGGAAGUUGUUAUAGUAGUGCUGGCCUCUGUCAUGGAGGUAUUGUGCACGCUCGACUUCUUCCUUUCUUCAUUUACACACCUGUGAACUUGUUGUAGGGUUGUCUCGCAAGAGACGCUCUAUGUCUUUCUCAUAUACUCCAUACUGUUUAUAGAAUGUACCUUUUUGCUCUCGUCAGAGACAAAAAUAAAGCCUUUAUAACUUUCAGCAACGGAUCUCUUGGCUCUC
rnacentral:misc_RNA from 1 species